rfam:Penicillium marneffei ATCC 18224 scf_1105668340738 genomic scaffold, whole genome shotgun sequence.
UAUCUGUGACGGAUAACCUAGUGGAAGGAUAGCUGCCGGUCGGUAACCUUGCGUAGGGUAAAACCAGCGGGUGAGUGUGUCUGUUUCGAGUCGUGGAGCGGCGGUUAUAACUCGUUGGAGAACCACGAUUGUUGUACUGCCCUAAGCAAUGAAGAUGACCCCCCAGGGAAGCAAUUCUGCAAGGAACUCUUCACUCUGCGAUGGCGACAGCAGACGGCACCUCCUCGUGUAAGGAAACUGGCCAUUUGGCUAUACAACUACAAUU